UUAUCAGACUUGUUACAAGGUUGUUCUAACAAGUCUGAUACAGUCAUGACAUAAUUAUAGCAAGAAUGUUACAAGGUUGACGACACAAGCUUGUGACAAUAUUGUUAUAUCAUGACUGUCUCGGAGUUGUUGGAACAACCUUGCUACAAGUCUGAUAA